rnacentral:rRNA from 1 species
UACAGAGGUCCCAAGCGUUGUUCGGAUUCAUUGGGCGUAAAGGGUGCGUAGGUGGCGCUGUAAGUCGGGUGUGAAAUUUCGGAGCUUAACUCCGAAGCUGCAUUCGAUACUGCGGUGCUUGAGGACUGGAGAGGAGACUGGAAUUCAUGGUGUAGCAGUGAAAUGCGUAGAGAUCAUGAGGAAGACCAGUGGCGAAGGCGGGUCUCUGGACAGUUCCUGACACUGACGCUCAUGCACGAAAGCGUGGGGAGCAAACAGG